UGUAGUUGGUAUUUUUUUUUUCUUAGUGUAUCUAUUCACUCCACUUUUAAUGUUCACUAUUUAUCCAUUUACCACCAUGUUUUAGUUUUUAAACACUUUAAAUUAAAUUUUAAAUUCUCUUAGUAUAAGUAAAUAAAUAAAUUCGAAAACCUAAUUACCGAUAUUUAGUUUUUAUCCGUUAUACCGUGAUAAGGCUCGAUCAACGAGUUUGUUAUCGCCGCUAAACAGACAACCUUUUUCACCAUUCGAAACCAUUCGAAAAACCGAUGGUCACUAUGGGAUAGAGCUAGAAGUGUACAUAUUCGACGGGGAUGCAAGUGGACAACAUUAACCCAUUAGUUCCUACCGUUACUAUUAUGUAACAGCAAAGUGGUGCCAUCUAAAUAGAUCCUCUAUCUCAUACGUCGCAAAUUUGCAGUUGAAAACAGUCAGUUCUUAUCAGAAGGUGAUAGUGUUUACAUUGUUUAAAUGUGCGAUUUUAUUAGAACUUUGUUUCGAAUCUGUGCAUUGAUAAAAUAUAGCAAAACAAAUGAGGCUUCAAAUAAUGGACUUCGUUGAUAAAAAAGGCCUUGCUGCAGUUCUUCAAAGAGACUGUUCAAAAAUCUAUUGAUAUAGCCUUUGGAGAAUACAAGAUAGAUGACUCUAUAGAGGCAGUUUAUAUAGCGCCACCGAGGAUGAGGGCGAAGAUUUGGACAAUUUCAACAAACGUCAGCUACUUGCCGAUGCAGAAGUUAGAACUGAGAUAGAAUUAUACAGGAUAUGAAUUAGAAACAGGAAAUGGUACUGGGCAUUGUUUACAUGGCUUCUUGCCGUUUCCGUCAAUAACGCGUGGUGUUUGUAUCGAAAAUCAAAUAACUUUCAGAUGUCCCAAAUAGACUUUCGAAGGGCUAUCGUGUAAGUUCAUUUGAAGAAAUAUUCGUCACCUCCCAAAGGCACUGGCAGGACUCCAUCUCCAACUUCUAAUGCGCAAAGAGUAGCCGAUGAAAUUAGAUAAAUGAUAGGAUACCUAGUGGAUAAAAUUCCAAACAACAAAAGAAGGCGUUGUGUUACCUAUCACAUAAACCAAAAUGUUUAAAUUCCUUUUUCUUUAUUUUCAGUUUUUAAAUAAAUAGAACUGUUCACAGCUA